rnacentral:rRNA from 1 species
CCUACGGGUGACAGCAGUCGAGAAUCAUUCACAAUGGGGGAAACCCUGAUGGUGCGACGCCGCGUGGGGGAAUGAAGGUCUUCGGAUUGUAAACCCCUGUCAUGUGGGAGCAAAUUAAAAAGAUAGUACCACAAGAGGAAGAGACGGCUAACUCUGUGCCAGCAACCGCGGUAAUACAGAGGUCUCAAGCGUUGUUCGGAAUCACUGGGCGUAAGGCGUGCGUAGGCUGUUUCGUAAGUCGUGUGUGAAAGGCGCGGGCUCAACCCGCGGACGGCACAUGAUACUGCGAGACUAGAGUAAUGGAGGGGGAACCGGAAUUCUCGGUGUAGCAGUGAAAUGCGUAGAUAUCGAGAGGAACACUCGUGGCGAAGGCGGGUUCCUGGACAUUAACUGACGCUGAGGCACGAAGGCCAGGGGAGCGAAAGGGAUUAGAUACCCGGGUAGUC